rnacentral:rRNA from 1 species
UACGUAGGGGGCAAGCGUUAUCCGGAAUUAUUGGGCGUAAAGAGCUCGUAGGCGGUUUGUCGCGUCUGCCGUGAAAGUCCGGGGCUCAACUCCGGAUCUGCGGUGGGUACGGGCAGACUAGAGUGAUGUAGGGGAGACUGGAAUUCCUGGUGUAGCGGUGAAAUGCGCAGAUAUCGGGAAGAACACCCGUGGCGAAGGCGGCUCUCUGGGACGGUACUGACGCUGAGACGCGAAAGCGUGGGGAGCGAACAGG